CGUCUAGGCGGAGUAGCAAGUCAGGUGUGAAAUCCCACGGCUCAACCGUGGAACGGCACUUGAAACUGCUACUCUUGAGUACGGAAGAGGAAAGCGGAAUUCCUGGUGUAGCGGUGAAAUGCGUAGAUAUCAGGAAGAACAUCGGUGGUGAAGGCGGCUUUCUGGUCCGAUACUGACGCUAAAGCGCGAAAGUGUGGGGAGCAAACAGGAUUAGAUACCCUGGUAGUCC
rnacentral:rRNA from 1 species